rnacentral:rRNA from 1 species
GACGAACGCUGGCGGCGUGCUUAACACAUGCAAGUCGAACGGAAAGGCCCUGCUUUUGUGGGGUGCUCGAGUGGCGAACGGGUGAGUAACACGUGAGUAACCUGCCCUUGACUUUGGGAUAACUUCAGGAAACUGGGGCUAAUACCGGAUAGGAGCUCCUGCUGCAUGGUGGGGGUUGGAAAGUUUCGGCGGUUGGGGAUGGACUCGCGGCUUAUCAGCUUGUUGGUGGGGUAGUGGCUUACCAAGGCUUUGACGGGUAGCCGGCCUGAGAGGGUGACCGGACACAGGGGGAGUGAGACACGGCCCAGACUUCUGCGGGGGGGCAGAGUGGAGAAUAGUGCAAAAUGCGGGGGAGUGAGGUGGAGACGCGGCGCGUGCGGUAUGAGGGCUCUCGGGUUGAAACCCGCUUUCGCGUGUGGAAGAGUGUGAGUGAGUGAAAUGGGUAAAGACGCAGCGUAGAAAUAUG